CAGAGGGCCUUUGGGGUGGGGGUGGGGGGCGCUUCUCAUGCCCGAGAUGCCAGAGAGCUAGGACCCCGCCCAGCCCAGGCGGCGUCCCUGCUGAUGGUGCCAUCUGUCUGCACCAUGCACGCACUGGGGCACCAGCUGGCGAGGGGAGCUUGUGGGAGGGCAGCCCACAGCCCUCACUGCUGCUCAUGAGUGGCCUCUACGCGGAGCUACCACACAGAAUCCAGCAAUUCACACCGACCGCCUGUGCUCUGGUCACAGGGUCCUUACAUGUGAAAGAGAGAGGCAGGAGCCAGCGCUGGAGCAGGAGAUGCGACAAGGAGGAUCAAGCUUGCUCUCUAGCUGCCUGAGAGGUGGGAGCCUUGGAAGGAGAACCCCCAAGGUUCACUGGCUCUACCUGCAAGGACCGUUGGAUCCUGCUUUCCAGGUCCUCAUCUGCGCUGGCCCUGCUUGCCCCAAACCUCUGCAUAGGAUGGCAGGGCUGGGCUCGACCCUCCAGUAGGCAUAUAUUGGCAAAAUAUAAAUAUUCUUGGACUCAGGCUUUGUUCUAAGUGAGGACAGUAAUUCAUCACAUGGUACAAGUAUCGA